UACAGAGGUCCCAAGCGUUGUUCGGAUUCACUGGGCGUAAAGGGUGCGUAGGCGGUUGGGUAAGUCUGUCGUGAAAUCUCCGAGCCUAACUCGGAAACUGCGUCGGAUACUAUUCAACUCGAGGAAUGGAGGGGAGACUGGAAUUCUCGGUGUAGCAGUGAAAUGCGUAGAGAUGUGGAGGAAUACCGAUGGCGAAGGCAGCCUCCUGGGCCAACACUGACGCUCAUGCACGAAAGCGUGGGGAGCAAACAGG
rnacentral:rRNA from 1 species